GGGCUUUCCAAUCAGUUUCCUUCGUUCAACUGCACUCAACUUGCUCCAUUGUUUGAGGAAUUCCGCUAGAGCAUACUGACAACUCAUAUCCUCAUUGAUAUUUGUAUAAGCUGUUUUCUCAACUUCCUUGGGAGGGGGAAGUUUUAGAGAAACUUCCUCUGGACGGAAAUUCUUAAAAAGUGGUUUUGGCCUGGAAUCAAUUCCAGGAAUACAAGAGUACAGGUGAAUCCUUCCUGUAUAUUGGCUGACCUCAAAACGGAGCGAUUCUACUUGGAUAGAACUGUUUGUUACAAGUAUUUCUCCAUUUACUUCUACUGCAGAGGAUGCAGCUUUUCCCUUGUCUGGUAAGUCCUGUUCUUUAGCUUCAUGAACAUCUCUAUUGCCUGUAAAGCAUCAUACUUCCCAUCCAUUGUAGAUGAAACUUGACG
rnacentral:misc_RNA from 1 species